GGAAAAGGGAAAUUAGGGUUUUAUAUGCGGCUAUCAAACUUCAUGUUCUGAACUCUCCCUCUCUAACGUACCUCUUCACCGCCGGGAAUCGCUCCGCCGCGCCGGAGGCGGUGGAGCUCGACUAAUUCCAAACUUAAUACCCAAAACGUUCAUCUCCACUCCCUCUCCUCUAUUUCUACUUCUUUUUUCUUAAAUUCCGAACCCUACGCCCUAAAUCAAACCAAAGAAUCGAAACCCUAAUUUAAAAGUGAAAUUACAUAGUGUGUAUGAAGCGUAUGGUUGCGAUUCCUUGGGGCUUUCGAUUUACACGCUUCAAACAAUGUCAUGGCAUCAAGAGAUAGAGAAACAAUGAAGGGGGAGGGAAAUGUUGAAGGCUUACCUGGCAUGUGAACUAGCAAAGACCGUUGAAGAAAAACAGAGGGGAGAUAAUAAGGAACGACUCCGAUCUUGCUCACAAAUUUUCCUUCUUCUUCCUCUUCUUCUUUUUCUUUGAAUUUCUAUGAAGCUUAAGUCCUUCAAUUGAAGGCAAUACGUUGUUGUUGUUGUUGUUGCAUGUAAUAGUGAUUCAGGGAGAUUGUUGUGAGUUGAACCGAGGGAGGUUGAAAGAUUGAGUCUGUGAAGAUGAAUUGAGAGAGGUUGAGAUGAAGGUAGGGUGUCAAUGAUGGAGUUAGCUCUGCUCCCUUGAAGUUCAGAGCUUUGGUUAUGAGCGUGUGGUGAGGUUAGGGAUGAAGAUGAGGAUGAAAGACAUGAAUGAGAAUGAUGAUGAGAGAGAAGGAGAGAAUGGUUGGUGGAAGGGUGAAAAAUGGCGCGUGUAGCUUCUGAAUGGAGAGAAGUCUGUUUAAAUAGAGAUUGAUGAAGCUGAAUUCAGUUAUGGUUGAGAGAAGUGUGAGCCAUUGGAUUGAGAGAAUCGGUUAUGGGCAAUGGAGGGUGAGAUUGGAAGUAGUAAGAGCUGUUGGAAGUUAGUUACAAUAUGUUUUUGGAGGUUAUGAGCUGACAAUUAGAGUUGGUUAUAGAAGUUAAGUUGGUUACAGUUAGUAGUGUUUUUUUGUAACUGUUUUUGUAACUAUUAGAAAUUGGAAAUUAAAAAUUGAAUGUUAGUUGGGUUAUUGGUUCUGGACUGUUAGCAGUGCAUCAGUGUAAACUCUCUAUGUUAGUCAAAACUAGUGGUUGUGAAUUAGUAAAUGUUAGAAGUUAGUUAUAUCAAAGGUUUGAAAAUCUGUUAACUGUUGGUUGUUGUAUGCUAAGUUCUGAACUGGUUUCUUCUUUGAUGCAGGAUCUUGCGAACCAGUUUAAUGUUCGGACGCAGCUCGGUGUGUGGAUGACAUGUUUGUCUCUGCAACCGAAAUUCUGGUUAACAGCCGGUUAGUAAUUGAAGAUUGGGUAGCGAAGCAAUGGCCCCAUAUACUUGAAGAAGAGGAAUGUACGGUUUGUGAUUGUACUGCUGCAGCAGGCUUUUGGAUAUGUAUAAGCAUGGUACUAGAAGUUAAUGAACAAAACUAUGGAUGGAUGAAAACGAGGAUGCUUGAGGCGCAUCUUUUCGCAGUGUAGUGCAGCUGCAGGUUUUGAUCUCUACAUUAGGAGAGACGUUGGUGUUCGGCUCUUUAGAUAAGGCUGGCUAUUUUUGCUGGCAUCCACUUAUGUAGCAGCAGGUUGGUUAGAAAUGAGGUUGGUCUAAGUGGGAAGCAGCUUGGUCAUGAAGAAUUUGGAAACAAAGUUGGAGUUUAAUAUAGCUUGGCUUAGGUCUAGGAUUAGUAUAGACACUAUGGUCAAAACAAUCUUUUGCCAUUGUAAUAGCCAUAUUAUUCAGAUCCUAUAUUGAAUGCCUUCUUUUGUAUUUUGAGCUUUAUGUAAUGAAAUCUUGGCUCUUGAAAUAUAGUCCACCCUUUCCUUGAA